GAUGAACGCUAGCUGCAGGCUUAACACAUGCAAGUCGCGGGGCAGCAUGGGGGUUGCUUGCCAUCCCCGGUGGCGACCGGGGCACGGGGGCGUAACGCUUAGCCAACCUGCCCGUCACCACGGGUUAAACCGGCGAAAGUCGGACGAAUACCGUAUGUUGGCCAUUGACGGCACCCGAUUCGGACGAAAUGCUUGGCGGUGAGGGGUGGGGCUGCGUCCGAUUAGCCCGACGGCGGGGUAACGGCCAACCGUGGCUGCGAUCGGUAGGGGUUGUGAGAGGUAGGUCCCCCACCCGGGAACUGGGACACGGUCCAGACUCCUACGGGAGGCAGCAGUGAGGAAUAUUGGUCAAUGGGCGUAAGCCUGAACCAGCCAAGUAGCGUGCAGGAUGACGGCCCUACGGGUUGUAAACUGCUUUUAUGCGGGGAUAAAGUGGCCCACGUGUGGGCUUUUGCCGGUACCGCAUGAAUAAGGACCGGCUAAUUCCGUG
rnacentral:rRNA from 1 species